CACGUAGGGUGCGAGCGUUGUCCGGAAUUACUGGGCGUAAAGAGCUCGUAGGUGGUUUGUCGCGUUGUUCGUGAAAAACCGGGGGGCUUAACCCCUCGGCGUGCGGGCGAUACGGGCAGACUUGAGUACUGCAGGGGAGACUGGAAUUCCUGGUGUAGCGGUGGAAUGCGCAGAUAUCAGGAGGAACACCGGUGGCGAAGGCGGGUCUCUGGGCAGUAACUGACGCUGAGGAGCGAAAGCGUGGGGAGCGAACAGG
rnacentral:rRNA from 1 species